rnacentral:rRNA from 1 species
GACGAACGCUGGCGGCGUGCUUAACACAUGCAAGUCGAACGGUAAGGCUCCAGCUUGCUGGGGUACACGAGUGGCGAACGGGUGAGUAACACGUGGGUGACCUGCCCUGCACUUCGGUAUGAGCCUGGGAAACUGGGUCUAAUACCGGAUAGGACCAUGGUGUGGAUACUGUGGUGGAAAGUUUUGUCGGUGUGGUAUUGGCCCGCGGGCUAUCAGCUUGUUGGUGGGGUAAUGGCCUACCAAGGCGGCUACGGGUAGCCGGCCUGAGAGGGUGGAAGGCCACAUUGGGACUGAGACACGGCCCAGACUCCUACGGGAGGCAGCAGUGGGGAAUAUUGCACAAUGGGCCGAAGCCUGAUGCAGCGACGCCGCGUGGGGGAUGACGGCCUUCGGGUUGUAAACUCCUUUCCCCAUCGACGAAGGGUUUCUGACGGUAGAUGGAGAAGAAGCACCGGCUAACUACGUG